GGAAGGGAUGUGGCUCAGUGGUAGAUAAUCUGCUUUGCAUGCAGAAGGUCGCAGGUUCAAUCCCUGGCCUCUCCA